rnacentral:rRNA from 1 species
UACGUAGGGUGCAAGCGUUGUCCGGAAUUAUUGGGCGUAAAGAGCUCGUAGGCGGUCUGUCGCGUCUGCUGUGAAAACUCGGGGCUUAACCCCGGGCCUGCAGUGGGUACGGGCAGACUAGAGUGCGGUAGGGGAGACUGGAAUUCCUGGUGUAGCGGUGGAAUGCGCAGAUAUCAGGAGGAACACCGGUGGCGAAGGCGGGUCUCUGGGCCGUAACUGACGCUGAGGAGCGAAAGCAUGGGGAGCGAACAGG